AUACGUAGGGGGCGAGCGUUGUCCGGAAUGAUUGGGCGUAAAGGGCGCGUAGGCGGCGCGGUAAGUCUGGAGUGAAAGUCCUGCUUUCGAGGUGGGAAUUGCUUUGGAUACUGCCGCGCUUGAGUGCAGGAGAGGUUAUCGGAAUUCCCGGUGUAGCGGUGAAAUGCGUAGAGAUCGGGAGGAACACCAGUGGCGAAGGCGGGUAACUGGACUGCAACUGACGCUGAGGCGCGAAAGUGUGGGGAGCAAACAGGAUUAGAUACCCUGGUAGUCCACACUGUAAACGAUGAAUGCUAGGUGUAAGAGGUAUCGACCCCUUUUGUGCCGGAGUCAACACAAUAAGCAUUCCGCCUGGGGAGUACGGCCGCAAGGUUGAAACUCAAAGGAAUUGACGGGG
rnacentral:rRNA from 1 species